CUUCAGCGAGCCGAGGUACAGCGGUUGGUCGCCGUCCCGGCCGCGUCCGUAGGUGGCCAGCAGCGCCGUGGCUUC
rnacentral:antisense_RNA from 1 species